ACCUGGUCAGUACUCAUAUGCUUGUCUCAAAGAUUAAGCCAUGCAGGUGUAAGUAUAAACUAAUUUAAACGGUGAAACUGCGAAUGACUCAUUAAAUCAGUUAUAGUUUGUUUGAUGGUACUUGCUACUCGGAUAACUGUAGUAAUUCUAGAGCUAAUACGUGCAACAAACCCUGAAUUCUGGAAGGGACGAAAUUAUUAGAUAAAAGCUCGACGUUGACCUAGUCUGUUGCUUUGAUGAUUCAUGAUAACUUGACGGAUUGCAUGGCCUUUGUGCUGCGACACAUCAUUCAAAUUUCUGCCCUAUCAACUUUCGAUGGUAGGAUAGUGGCCUACUAUGGUGGUGACGGGUGACAGAGAAUUAGGGUUCAAUUUUGGAGAGGGAGCCUUAGAAACGGCUACCACAUCCAAGGAAGGCAGCAGGCGCGCAAAUUACCCAAUCCUGACUCGAGGAGGUAGUGACAAUAAAUAACAAUAUCGGGCUCUUCGAGUUUGGUAAUUGGAAUGAGUACAAUCUAAAUCUCAUAACGAGGAUCCAUUGGAGGGAAAGUCUGGUGCCAGCAGCCGUGGCAAUUCCAGCUCCAAUAGCGUAUAUUUAAGUUGUUGCAGUUAAAAAGCUCAUAGUUUGAUCUCGGGAUAUGUCUGUUGGUUUGCCUCUGGCGCUGUUACUUUGAAGAAAUUAGAGAGCUCAAAGCAAGCCUUCGCUCUGUAUACAUUAGCAUGGGAUAACUUCAUAGGAGUUCGAUCCUAUUCUGUUGGCCUUUGGGAUCAGAGUAAUGAUUAACAUGGACAGUUGGAGGGAUUCGUAUUUCAUAGUCAGAGGUGAAAUUCUUGGAUUUAUGAAAGACGAACAACUGUGAAAGCAUUUGCCAAGGAUGUUUUCACUAAUCAAGAAUGAAAGUUGGGUGCUCGAAGACGAUCAGAUACCGUCCUAGUCUCAACCAUAAACGAUGUCGACUAGGGAUCGGCGAAUGUUGCUUAUAGGAAAUCGCCGCCACCUUUCUAAGAAAUCAAAGUCUUUGGGUUCCGGGGGGAGUAUGGUCGCAAGGCUGAAACUUAAAGGAAUUGACGGAAGGGCACCACCAGGAGUGGAGCCUGCGGCUUAAUAUGGCUCAGCACGGGGAAAAAUUUACCAAGUCCAUACAUAGUAAGGAUUGACAGACUAAGAGCUCUUUUUUUUUUUGUUAAGGUAAAUAAAAUUAAAACAAAAUAGAAAUACAAGAAGUUGAAGACUAGAGCCUGGGCCGGGGGGAAAUCUAUAAGUCAAAAAGAUAACCCCAGAAAACCCAAGAAAAAAAACCGGCUGGAAAGCCAACAUUGUGACUAACCAAAUCACAAAAAGCCCAAGAAUGGAGACAUAAGAACUAGCUCUCACUAUCAAACAGUCGGCAAAGAAACAUAAGCCAGAAUUAAGGCAGAAGAGCGGCAAAAAAAUAAAAUUAUCAGCUCAACCCAUUAGGCAACAAAAAGAGAACCUCGGGGAGGAAACAAG
rnacentral:rRNA from 1 species